CGCAUCUGUGCAUGCAGCAUAUCAAUAAGCGGAGGAAAAGAAACUAACAAGGAUUCCCCUAGUAACGGCGAGUGAAGCGGGAAGAGCUCAAAUUUGAAAUCUUAAAGGGUUUCCCUUUACGAAUUGUAGUUUAAAGAAGUGUUUUUCUGUUGAGGUUUUUGGUAAAAGUUCUUUGGAAUAGGACAUCAUAGAGGGUGAGAAUCCCGUAUUUGACCUUUACUUUCAACUUUGUGAUACACUUUCCAAAGAGUCGGAUUAGUUUGGGAAUGCAGUCCAAAAUGGGUGGUAAAUUUCAUCUAAAGCUAAAUAUUGGCGAGAGACCGAUAGCGAACAAGUACCGUGAGGGAAAGAUGAAAAGAACUUUGAAAAGAGAGUUAAACAGUACGUGAAAUUGUCAAAAGGGAAGCGUUUGACACCAGUGUUGUUUUUUCUGAAAAUCAAUUAAAGAACUGUUUAUGCUAAGCUGUUUAGACUUUAUCAGCUAACUGUUUAGUUUUGAGCUUUUCUUUAAUGCACUUUUCAGUUAACAAGUCAACAUCAAUUUCUUUUGCUGUAAAAAAAGCUUGAGGAAGGUGGCUUGAGAUUCGUCUUAAGUGUUUAUAGCCUCUUGCCUAUGCAGUCGGAGAGAUUGAGGUCUGCAGCGUAGAUCCUUCGGGGCUAAAUGCAUUUGUGCUAAGUUAUAGCAUUUUAUAGACAACUUGUUGACUAUGAUUUGUCUUGUAGCUUACUCGCUUAUGUUAUUUUACCUACGCUUAGGAUGUUGAACGCGCACAGAGUCUC
rnacentral:rRNA from 1 species